CUAUACAUGCAAGUACGAGCGCAGGAGCAAAGGGGAUCCCCUUCGGGGGUGACGCUUGUGGAAUGAGCGGCGGACGGGUGAGUAACACGUGGGCAACCUGCCUGUAAGAUGCUGGGAUAACCCCGGGAAACCGGGGCUAAUACCGGGUAAUACCUGAGCUGCCAGCAUGGAGUCGGGCAUUGAAAGAUGGCUUCUCGCUAUCACUUACAGAUGGGCCCGCGGCGCAUUAGCUAGUUGGUGASGUAACGGCUCACCAAGGCGACGAUGCGUAGCCGACCUGAGAGGGUAGACUCGUGCCACACUGGGACUGAGACACGGCCCAGACUCCUACGGGAGGUCGAGCAAGUCCCAGGGAAUCUUCCGCAAUGGACGAAAGUCUGCACGGAGCAACGCCGCGUGAACGAUGAAGGUCUUCGGAUCGUAAAGUUCUGUUGUCAGGGAAGAACAAGUACCGCUGCGAAUAGAGCGGUACCUUGACGGUACCUGACCAGAAAGCCACGGCUAACUACGAGAGUUGCCAGCAGCCGCGGUAAUACGUAGGUGGCAAGCGUUGUCCGGAAUUAUUGGGCGUAAAGCGCGCGCAUUGGCGGUUUCUUAAGUCUGAUGUGAAAGCCCCCGGCUCAACCGGGGAGGGUCAUUGGAAACUGGGGAACUUGAGUACAGAAGAGGAGAGUGGAAUUCCACGUGUAGCGGUGAAAUGCGUAGAUAUGUGGAGGAACACCAGUGGCGGAAGGCGACUCUCUGGUCUGUAAACUGACGCUGAGGCGCGAAAGCGUGGGGGAGCGAACAGGAUUAGAUACCCUGGUAGUCCACGCCCGUAAACGAUGAGUGCUAGGUGUUAGGGGGGCUUCCACCCCUUAGUGGCUGAAGUUAACCGCCAUUAAGCACUCCGCCGGGGGAAGUACGGGCCGCAGGGUGA
rnacentral:rRNA from 1 species